UACGAAGGGGGCUAGCGUUGUUCGGAAUUACUGGGCGUAAAGCGCGCGCAGGCGGUCUUCCAAGUCAGUGGUGAAAGCCUGGAGCUCAACUCCAGAACUGCGAUUGAAACUGUUAGACUUGAGUACGAGAGAGGUGAGUGGAAUUCCCAAUGUAGAGGUGAAAUUCGUAGAUAUUGGGAAGAACACCAGUGGCGAAGGCGGCUCACUGGCUCGUAACUGACGCUGAGGCGCGACAGCGUGGGGAUCGAACAGG
rnacentral:rRNA from 1 species